CGGCCGGCGUGCCGCGAUCGUGAAUCCUCUGCGAAUUUUCGGCUGUUUUUUCGCAGACGAUUC
rnacentral:sRNA from 1 species